UACGGAGGGUGCGAGCGUUGUCCGGAAUCACUGGGCGUAAAGGGCGCGUAGGCGGCUCAUUAAGUGGCUGGUGAAAUCCCGGGGCUCAACUCCGGGGCUGCCGGUCAGACUGGUGGGCUUGAGUACGGAAGAGGCGAGUGGAAUUCCUGGUGUAGCGGUGAAAUGCGCAGAUAUCAGGAGGAACACCAAUUGCGAAGGCAGCUCGCUGGGACGUUACUGACGCUGAGACGCGAAAGCGUGGGGAGCAAACAGG
rnacentral:rRNA from 1 species